CAUGUGGUUUAAUUCGAAGCAACGCGAAGAACCUUACCAGGUCUUGACAUCCCGAUGCUAUUCUAGAGAUAGAAAGUUACUUCGGUACAUCGGUGACAGGCGGUGCAUGGUUGUCGUCAGCUCGUGUCGUGAGAUGUUGGGUUAAGUCCCGCAACGAGCGCAACCCCUAUUGUUAGUUGCCAUCAUUCAGUUGGGCACUCUAGCGAGACUGCCGGUAAUAAACCGGAGGAAGGUGGGGAUGACGUCAAAUCAUCAUGCCCCUUAUGACCUGGGCUACACACGUGCUACAAUGGUUGGUACAACGAGUUGCGAGUCGGUGACGGCGAGCUAAUCUCUUAAAGCCAAUCUCAGUUCGGAUUGUAGGCUGCAACUCGCCUACAUGAAGUCGGAAUCGCUAGUAAUCGCGGAUCAGCACGCCCGCGGUUCCGAAUACGUUCCGGCCUU
rnacentral:rRNA from 1 species